rnacentral:rRNA from 1 species
GAUGAACGCUGGCGGCGUGCUUAACACAUGCAAGUCGAACGAAGCAUUUGCGACAGAUUUUUUCGGAAUGAAGUUGCUUAUGACUGAGUGGCGGACGGGUGAGUAACGCGUGGGUAACCUGCCUUGUACUGGGGGAUAGCGGCUGGAAACGGCUGGUAAUACCGCAUAAGCGCACAAUGUUGCAUGACAUGGUGUGAAAAACUCCGGUGGUAUAAGAUGGACCCGCGUCUGAUUAGCUAGUUGGUGAGAUAACAGCCCACCAAGGCGACGAUCAGUAGCCGACCUGAGAGGGUGACCGGCCACAUUGGGACUGAGACACGGCCCAGACUCCUACGGGAGGCAGCAGUGGGGAAUAUUGCACAAUGGAGGAAACUCUGAUGCAGCGACGCCGCGUGAGUGAAGAAGUAAUUCGUUAUGUAAAGCUCUAUCAGCAGGGAAGAUAGUGACGGUACCUGACGAAGAAGCUCCGGCUAAAUACGUG